rnacentral:lncRNA from 1 species
CAAGAGCCACCCGCCUUGGCAAAAUGACAAAACCUUGGGCACCGGACACAAGCAGGGAGCACUACCCUGGCAGUUCUAAGCCCCGCCCAAGCUGACCACGAAACACCUGGGAUCCGCCUCUCGCACGUUUUUAAUUUUUUCCCUUAAGAUUUUGCUCCACUCCCAAGCAGCAAGCCCCGCCCUCAUCCUAUUUCUCCAGACAUUUCAAGGUUGAACCUCUGUGGCCAUGUUCCCCUACAUCUGGAAUCUUGGAAGCAUCAUCCCGACUGCCCUUGCUACAUCGCCUCACCAGAUCUUCAACUAUACUUGGGUGAUUCUUAAUGGCGCUGGAGAUGUGGUGUCUGCCAACUCCACCACUGCUGCACGAGUUCGCUGGCCCAAACUUGAGGUAGAUCUUUGCAAAUUAGUGCUAGGAGCUUACCUUGAUUGGAGCACAUGACAUCUUUGCCCCCCCCUGCCCUGAGCUGGCAGACCCCAGUACUGACCCGGGUUGCAGUAAUACACUCAGAAGAGCCACAUUGGCCCUUCAAAUUGGGGGGAUUUAUUUAUGCCCUGCUGACCACAGAGAUCAUACAAAGGCCAGAGGCUGUGGGUAUGAAACUGAUUUCUACUGUGCCUCCUGGGGCUGUGAGACCACUGGAGACACGUACUGGAAACCCAGCUCUUCCUGGGAUUACAUCACAGCUAAAAGAAAAUUCUCCAAUGCCUGGGUCACCAGUCUGGGCCGACAGCCCCUCAAUAACA